rnacentral:rRNA from 1 species
GACGAACGCUGGCGGCGUGCUUAACACAUGCAAGUCGAACGGAAAGGCCCUGCUUUUGUGGGGUGCUCGAGUGGCGAACGGGUGAGUAACACGUGAGUAACCUGCCCUUGACUUUGGGAUAACUUCAGGAAACUGGGGCUAAUACCGGAUAGGAGCUCCUGCUGCAUGGUGGGGGAUGGAAAGUUUCGGCGGUUGGGGAUGGACUCGCGGCUUAUCAGCUUGUUGGUGGGGUAGUGGCUUACCAAGGCUUUGACGGGUAGCCGGCCUGGGAGGGUGACCGGCCACCUUGGGACUGCGAUACGGACCAGUCUCCAACGGGAGGCAGCAGUGGGGAAUAUUGCACAAUGGGCGGAAGCCUGAGGCAGCAACGCCGCGUUCGGGAUGACGGCCUUCGGGUUGUAAACCGCUUUCGCCUGUGACGAAGCGUGAGUGACGGUAAUGGGUAAAGAAGCACCGGCUAACUACGUG